rnacentral:rRNA from 1 species
AUCGAACGCUGGCGGCAGGCCUAACACAUGCAAGUCGAACGAGUGGCGGACGGGUGAGUAAUGUCUGGGAAAUUGCCUGAUGGAGGGGGAUAACUACUGGAAACGGUAGCUAAUACCGCAUACCAUCAGAUGUGCCCUGAUGGGAUUAGCUUGUUGGUGGGGUAACGGCUCACCAAGGCGACGAUCCCUAGCUGGUCCGAGAGGCUGACCGGCCACACUGGAACUGAGACACGGUCCAGACUCCUACGGGAGGCAGCAGUGGGGAAUAUUCCGCAAUGGGCGCAAGCCUGAUGCAGCCAUGCCGCGUGUGUGAAGAAGGCCUUCGGGUUGUAAAGUACUUUCAGCGGGGAGGCGUUACCCGCAGAGGAAGCACCGGCUAACUCCGUGCCAGCAGCCGCGGUAAUUC